UCCCUGGUGGCUCAGAGGUUAAAGCAUCUGCCUGCAAUGCGGGAGAUCCAGGAUCGAUCCCUGGGUCGGGAA
rnacentral:tRNA from 1 species